rnacentral:lncRNA from 1 species
GAGCCCACAGCUGCAGGGGCUCUUGGGAGCUGGGGGCCACGGAGGAAGAGGACUGCUGGCCUCACCUCUUCCCACCCGGUGCUCCCCUCAGUGUUCCCGCUCAGCCCGCUUCCGGCUGCUGGGAGUCCGCCAUAUUUCUGCUCGACCCCGGACCAAGACCAAAGAGCCAGCUGCCCGCGGAGCGGAACGUCUGAGAGCCUGAGCCAAAGUAAGCCUUUCCUCCGGUGUUUAUGUUGGGUAUUUCGUCACAACAAAGGAAAGCCAAUAUGGUUAUCUCCCGACACCUGUAAGGCUGAUCGCAGGAGGCCGCUCACCUCCUGGGCGGAAGGGAGAGGCGCGGGGCGCGUGACUCAGCCCACCGGUCCUCCUCCGCGGGACCCGCGCACUAAGGUUCUGCUUCAGCUAAGUUCCGCAGGCGCCUGGCGCCGGCCUAGGCUGCUGGCUGUGGGAGAUUCGGCUGAGACUGGACGCAGGGAGGUCCCCUCUGCAGCGGCGACAGCCCUGCUGUCUCCGGGAGUCCUCACUUCCCGGCAUCAGGGCCCAGAGCUGGGUCUCCGCGUCACAAACGAAGUUGCAUUCAACUGGCUGAAUGCCAGUAUUGCUGGACCAUGAUUCUGGAUGCCUUAGGGUAAAACUUUUCCCCGGUUCUCCUGAAGAAAAAGCCAAGAGGAACAGAGGAGGGAAAGGCAACUGUCUGCUUCUCCAUAAGAACUAUCUCCCAUACAAGUUAAGUAUUCUUCCCUCUUCUCAGUUUGUGUCAUCUUGCCAAGUGCAAACACAUUUCUCCAUUCAUAGAGUCUGCCAAAUUUUUCCCAGUCUGUAAUGAGUUUUUAUUUGCUUGCUGACUGCCUUUAAUAUCUCACUUAACUCUAGUUCAUCAUAAGGUGAGUUCAUAGAACACAGCCUUAUGUGUUUCUUGAAAGUACCCAGGUGAAGCAUGGAUUUUAGGCUCCUACAUGUCUCCACGAAUUUUAAAAGGAGUAUUUUCACUCUUGUCUUAUUGCCAUAUAGAGGUAGAUGGUAAUGUGCCUCAGAGUUUGGGAUUGAAAAUUAAACCACUGGGAGGCAGAUAGCUUUGGACCAAGAAAUCAAGUCCAACAUGAAACCAGACUUGUUAUUUUCCUCUGGAUUCUAUAUAGCUACCAAAAAAGCUGUGUCCCAAAUCCAGAUUACCUGGUCAGCACUAACCACAGACUACUAUCUAAUGUCCUACUCAACUGUGCCAAACCUGCCACUUACACUCAGGGCUGGGGAAUUCCACCUCAGGCUACACAGACAAGGCUUCUGGUCAGCCUUCCAGGGACUGCCUCCAGGAGGGGCACUGUAGAUGCUCGGGCACUCUUGAGUCAAGCCCAUUUUGGUGCCUUCUGGGGAUCAACAGAAUUCACUUUCCUCACCACUGAAGCACCAAAGGUGUAAUAGUGUCUGAGGGUUUUGUUGUUUUUUUUUUCCCUGUGUGUUAAGAAGCAAGAAGUGUACAACCAGUGAGUUUGAUCCACAACUCAUCCCUUGACGUUGGGCCAAAUUACUUAACCUCUCUGUAUAUCAAGUUCUCGAUUUGUAUUGCGGCAAUGAUAAUAGUACCCCAUUUAGAGAAGUACUAUGAGGAAUAAAAUAAGUCAGUACUUAUGUUCAGAACAGGCAGAUGCACUGCAAGGCUGUUUCCAGAA